rnacentral:rRNA from 1 species
GAUGAACGCUGGCGGCGUGCUUAACACAUGCAAGUCGAACGAGAAGUGAAGACGGAACCCUUCGGGCGGAAGGCUUUAUUUCGAGUGGCGGACGGGUGAGUAACGCGUGGGUAACCUGCCUCAUACAGGGGGAUAACAGUUGGAAACGACUGUUAAUACCGCAUAAGACCACAGCACCGCAUGGUGCGGGGGUAAAAACUCCGGUGGUAUGAGAUGGACCCGCGUUCGAUUAGCCAGUUGGCGGGGUAACGGCCCACCAAAGCGACGAUCGAUAGCCGAUCUGAGAGGAUGACCGGCCACAUUGGGACUGAGACACGGCCCAAACUCCUACGGGAGGCAGCAGUGGGGAAUAUUGCACAAUGGGGGAAACCCUGAUGCAGCGACGCCGCGUGAGUGAAGAAGUAUUUCGGUAUGUAAAGCUCUAUCAGCAGGGAAGAAAAUGACGGUACCUGAGUAAGAAGCCCCGGCUAACUACGU